GCGCAGAUAUCAGGAGGAACACCAGUGGCGAAGGCGGUUCUCUGGGCCUUUCCUGACGCUGAGGAGCGAAAGCGUGGGGAGCGAACAGGCUUAGAUACCCUGGUAGUCCACGCUGUAAACGGUGGGUACUAGGUGUGGGGUCCAUUCCACGGGUUCCGUGCCGUAGCUAACGCUUUAAGUACCCCGCCUGGGGAGUACGGCCGCAAGGCUAAAACUCAAAGGAAUUGACGGGGCCCCGCACAAGCGGCGGAGCAUGCGGAUUAAUUCGAUGCAACGCGUAGAACCUUACCUGGGUUUGACAUGGAUCGGGAGUGCUCAGAGAUGGGUGUGCCUCUUUUGGGGUCGGUUCACAGGUGGUGCAUGGCUGUCGUCAGCUCGUGUCGUGAGAUGUUGGGUUAAGUCCCGCAACGAGCGCAACCCUCGUUUUUAGUUGCCAGCAUUAAGUUGGGCACUCUAGAGAGACUGCCGGUGACAAACCGGAGGAAGGUGGGGAUGACGUCAAGUCAGCAUGCCCCUUACGUUCUGGGCUACACACGUACUACAAUGCUACGGACAAAGGGUAGCAAGACAGCGAUGUCAAGCCAAUCCCAUAAACCGUGGCUCAGUUCAGAUUGCAGGCUGCAACUCGCCUGCAUGAAGGCGGAAUCGCUAGUAAUCGCAGGUCAGCACUACUGCGGUGAAUACGUUCCCGGGCCUUGUACACACCGCCCGUCACACCAUGAGAGUUUGUAACACCCAAAGUCGGUGAGGUAACCUUUGGAGCCAGCCGCCUAAGGUGGGACAGAUGAUUAGGGUGAAGUCGUAACAAGGUAGCCGUAGGAGAACCUGCGGCUG
rnacentral:rRNA from 1 species